rnacentral:rRNA from 1 species
CCUACGGGUGGCAGCAGUGGGGAAUAUUGGGCAAUGGGCGCAAGCCUGACCCAGCAACGCCGCGUGAAGGAAGAAGGCUUUCGGGUUGUAAACUUCUUUUCUCAGGGACGAAGCAAGUGACGGUACCUGAGGAAUAAGCCACGGCUAACUACGUGCACGCAGCCGCGGGAAUACGUAGGUGGCAAGCGUUAUCCGGAUUUACUGGGUGUAAAGGGCGGGUAGGCGGGACUGUAAGGCAGAUGAGAAAGCCACGGGCUCAACCUGUGGCCUGCAUUUGAAACUGUAGUUCUUGAGUACUGGAGAGGCAGACAGAAUUCCUAGUGUAGCGGUGAAAUGCUUAGAUAUUAGGAGGAACACCAGUGGCGAAGGCGGUCUGCUGGACAGCAACUGACGCUGAGGCGCGAAAGCGUGGGGAGCAAACAGGAUUAGAUACCCUUGUAGUC